rnacentral:rRNA from 1 species
UACGUAGGUGGCAAGCGUUGUCCGGAAUUAUUGGGCGGAAAGCGCGCGCAGGCGGUCCUUUAAGUCUGAUGUGAAAGCCCACGGCUCAACCGUGGAGGGUCAUUGGAAACUGGAGGACUUGAGUACAGAAGAGGAAAGCGGAAUUCCACGUGUAGCGGUGAAAUGCGUAGAGAUGUGGAGGAACACCAGUGGCGAAGGCGGCUUUCUGGUCUGUAACUGACGCUGAGGCGCGAAAGCGUGGGGAGCAAACAGG